AGGAUAAAAACUGGGGGGUAUUAGAAGUUUAGAAAGAUGCAGAAGCUUAGGCGUUUGUAUAUUUCGAAUACGGACAAAACCAAACCCAGAAGUAUAGAGUUCAGAUCGUCCACAACCUUUUGGUUGGAUCGGAACUUGAAGUUGGA
rnacentral:ncRNA from 2 species